rnacentral:rRNA from 1 species
UUCCGGUUGAUCCCGCCGGACCCGACUGCUAUCAGAGUGGGACUGAGCCAUGUGAGUCGACGUAGCAAUGCGUGGCGAACGGCUCAGUAACACGUAGUCAACAUGCCCAGGGGACGUGGAUAACCUCGGGAAACUGAGAAUAAACCACGAUAGGUCACGAUUUCUGGAAUGGAUCAUGGCCUAAAUCUACAUGGCCCCUGGAUUGGACUGCGGCCGAUCAGGCUGUUGGUGAGGUAAUGGCCCACCAAACCUAUAACCGGUACGGGCUCUGAGAGGAGAAGCCCGGAGAUGGGCACUGAGACAAGGGCCCAGGCCCUAUGGGGCGCAGCAGGCGCGAAACCUCUGCAAUAGGCGAAAGCCUGACAGGGUUACUCUGAGUGAUUUCCGCUAAGGGGAUCUUUUGGCACCUCUAAAAAUGGUGCAGAAUAAGGGGUGGGCAAGUCUGGUGUCAGCCGCCGCGGUAAUACCAGCUCCUCGAGUGGUCGGGACGAUUAUUGGGCCUAAAGCACCCGUAGCCUGUUCUGUAAGUCCUCUGUUAAAUCCAGUCGCUCAACGGCUGGCCCGCAGAGGAUACUGCAAGACUAGGAGGCGGGAGAGGCGGACGGUACUCCGCGUGUAGGGGUAAAAUCCUUUGAUCCGCGGAAGACCACCAGUGGCGAAGGCGGUCCGCCAGAACGCGCUCGACGGUGAGGGGUGAAAGCUGGGGGAGCGAACCGGAUUAGAUACCCGGGUAGUCCCAGCCGUAAACGAUGCGAGCUAGAUGAUUCGAUCGCAGUUCGCGAUCGAAGUGUCGCAGGGAAGCCGUUAAGCUCGCCGCCUGGGGAGUACGGUCGCAAGGCUGAAUCGUAGAGCAGAUUUUCUGCCUACGCAGUUCACUUAAGGAAUUGGCGGGGGAGCC